rnacentral:tRNA from 1 species
GGCGCAUUAGUCAAGCGGUUAAGACGCUGCUUUCUCAAGGCAGAGGCAGGGGUUCGAUUCCCCUAUGCGCUACCU